rnacentral:RNase_P_RNA from 2 species
GUGGGCUGAAGCUCAUUGAAGAGAUCACAUCAAUCAACCAAUCACCUCAGGGAAGGUUUAGACCAGGAACCAAUCACUGCCCUGGCAGUGCAUCCUGAUCUGGAUGAGUGACAUCACAGAGAAUUCAGGUUGUUUUCACAGGAGUACUGCUAUCGAUGACGUCACUGCCUUGGAAACGCUCAUGGAUGUUGUGUGACGUUGGAGUACAUCCAGACUACUAAGUUCACCCCCC